rnacentral:lncRNA from 1 species
UAAUGUAUGAUGGUAUGCAUAAUGUUGUGAAUGUGUUAUGUUAUGCAUGUGUUGUGAAUGGACUAUUUUAUGGCUUAGAGAGUGAGCAUCGGUCCAUUGUGGAUUAUUGUUGUGUGUUGCAUUGCUAGGUGAUUAGCGUGCAAAUGUGGCCUUUAUGGUGGUAGCUAAUUCUCAUGGUGAGGAAUUAGUGAUGUUAGUCAUUUGGACUGUUUUUGAUGUUUGCAUGCUAGGUGAAUUAGCGUGCAUAGC